rnacentral:lncRNA from 1 species
GACUUGAGCUUUUAUUUCAAGUGAAGAGAACUGUCUUUGGAGGAUUACUAUUAUUAUUUAUUAAUCAUAUUAAUCACCUAUUAAUAUUAUCCAGUGCUAUGCUAUGGCAUGUUAUGAUUGCUCUAGCUACCACUUCUUGAGCAUUUAGUCUAUGCCAACUGGAUUAGGUGCGUCAGAUUAAUCAUCCCAUUUAAUCUUCCCGACCUCCUUGAGGCAGGGACUUUGCCAUCUCAGUUUUACUGCUGGGGAAACUGAGGCUCGGAGAAGCCUUGCCCAAGAUCUUUCAUUUAUUCCACAAAUAGUUAUGAGCACCUUUUGUAUGCUCUUUCGAAGUGCUAGGACACACAGCUUUAACUCACAGGGUCGUGAUUAGAACCCUGCUCUGCAUCCCAAGAGCCAGCACUCAGCCCCACUAUGCCCUGCUGGGGGGGGACGGAAGAAGAGGAAGAAAUGAAGGCAGCCAUCCCAGCGGCAGGGAGCUCCUCCUUCCUGAAGGCGUGUGGGCGGAAGGGGCUGAGCACACGAAGGUGCCGGCGCCUCUGAGUGUUGGGCCAAAGGACUGGAAGUGAGAACACUCAGGUUCCAAGUCCCCCUGUGUGCGCUGAGCUGUGUACCCCGUGAUGGAUCUGCUGCAGUCCUAACUCCGGGUACCUGGGAAUGUGACCUUAUGUGGAAAUCGGGUCUUUGCAGCUGUGAUCAAGUUAAGACCACGUCGUUAGGGUGGACCCUAAUCCAAUAUGACGCUGUCCUUGUAAGAAGAGACUCACAGAGACACACAGGGAGAAGGCCGUACUACGACCAAGGCAGAGAGAGCAGUGACGUCCCUACAAGCAAGGAACACCAAGCAUUGCCACCACCCCCACAAGCUAAGGGACAGGCAUGGACAGAUUCUCCCCUGGAGCCUUCAGAUGCCCUGCUGCCAUCUUGAUUCUGGACUUGUGGCCUCCAGAACCGUGAGAGAAUAGAGAGACUGCAGCUGAAAAGUGAAGAAUUGAGUCGGGCUAGAGACCAGGGCAGCCUUCCUGUCACCAGCGCCUGAUGCAAAGUGAGACUGAUGACAGACUGCAGUCUGUUGAUUUGCUCCACCCGAAUCAGAGGACGCACCGAGAUCUGGACAAACUUGGUGUGCGUGUAGCCUAUACCCGUGUCUGUGUUCCUGAUGCCAUACGCAGGCGUCACGAGUGCCCUGUCCUGGUGGGGGUACCUGCACACCCAAAAGACCAGAGCAUCAGAAAUCACCACUAGGAAAAAGGCGCCCUGGCCUAGGCUCCAAAUUCGAGCUUUAAGAGCUGACACGAGUCUCCUUUCAAAGGUCUUUCUUGCGUCUAUUGGCUGCUUACUCUCUCAGGGAAGAAACUGUUCGUCAGUGGAAUCAAAACAAGGGAUACUUAAAAAGCUCCAGGAAAGUCAUAUUUCCUGGAGAUGGAAAAUAUUUUUCUCAAAGGGAACUGGGAAGAGGCAAGAAUUUUUAAAAGGAUGACCUAUGAAAGAGGAACGGAGCCAGAACACGAUCCAAGAGAGGCUUUCAAAGCUUACAGUGGAGGAGAAAUGGCUUGUUUGAGACGAGGAAAGAGGCGGAACAAGGGAAGUAACUUGCCUGAGGUCACAUGGCUUGUCAGUGUCACAGGGCAAGAUUCCAUUCCAGGACUCCCGGAUUCCAGCAUCUCUGCUCCUAACCAGCCAAUCCUUGCUGUCUUCUCCUGCUGGCACCGACUCCGCUAAGAAACAGAAGGUUCAAGAUGGCGACACAGGAAGAUCCUGAACUCGCCUCCCCCACAGACACACUGAAUCUACAGCUGCAUAUGGAGCAAUUUCCUCUCAAAAAAACCCUAAAAUCUAGUGGAAAGACUCCUUCGUAUUAGGGAAAUGAGAAAACAAAAAACAAAAAAACAUUGAUGCGAGUAGGAAAGGCUGAGAUAGUC